rnacentral:rRNA from 1 species
UACGAGGGGGGCGAGCGUUGUUCGGAAUUAUUGGGCGUAAAGGGUGCGUAGGCGGUUUGGUAAGUCUUGUGUGAAAACUCGAGGCUCAACCUCGAGACGUCGAUGGAAACCAUCUGGCUAGAGUCCGGAAGAGGAGAGUGGAAUUCCUGGUGUAGCGGUGAAAUGCGCAGAUAUCAGGAAGAACACCCGUGGCGAAGGCGGCUCUCUGGGACGGUACUGACGCUGAGACGCGAAAGCGUGGGGAGCGAACAGG